CUCAUGCUGCAGAUCAUCCUGGAAGUGUAGAGCCAUUUACAGACAGCAAUACCACAGCCAGGGUGACCACCAUGAGGCUGAGCCAGGCCCUUGGUAUGCACAGGAUUAACAAGAUCUCCCUGGGACUGGAAGUUCUUCACAAGCAUCGCUCCUGGGCGGGCUGCAGCGCCACCCGGAGGCUUCCUGUGCCUGGUGUGGACCUCAUGUGACACUGUAGCUGCACAUUGCAGAGGUCCAGGAUUCUAGCCCAGAGCCCAAACACCACAGCCCGCCCCAGUGUGGACACCGAAUGGAACCAACCAAGGCCAAAGAAGAGGAUCAGAGCAGCACGACGUGACAUCGGAGCAGCGCAGGGAGCAGUGAGCGAAAAGGAUGAGGCCAGUGGACCUUGCUAGGGACUGUGGGGCUCGCUACUGCAAGGAACCAGGCAACAUGCCUGGUUAAAAGGCGCCAGGAGCAACCUUCAAACUGCAAAGCAUGACCUUCAUCUACAAACCUGUGUUCUGCCAUAAAAGACUAAUUUUUCUUCCUGUAGCCUAGUCAUCCUUCAGGAUCCCGCAGAAGAUGUGUUCUUUCUAGGACAGGGAACAACCCCAGCUGGCUCAGCCUCCAGGAAAUCCUAUUACUGAAGUCCUUUUUGUCAUUUCUGCAGUGAGGUCAGCACUGCGGAAUAUCCACACUUCUGUCCAUCACACAGACGGCCACACUUGGAGCUCGGAAAACAGACACCUGCUUGCUCCAUGGCUGCCACGGGCCAGACGUUCAGGCUCCCAAAUGAGCACCUGCAUUCCUAGCAAGAGCCACCAGCGGAUUUCACGAAUUUCCUCUGCAGCGGUGCAGAGAUGAGAAUAAUGGGAUUCUGCCAACGCAAGAGAACAUGAGAAGCAACACGAAACCCAGCCGAGGGCGCUGCCCUGUAGGUAUGCUACCAAGAGAAUGACCUCAGGAUUUCACGAGUCACAGCAAACAAUUAGACCGUAAUUUAAAAAUAGGCUGUGCAUGCCCAAUUUUUAUUAAGGAGCUAAUUUACAAACUUACAAGCUGAUCAGUGCAUUCUUUUCAGAGUUAAAACUGAUCUACUGGCUAAAAGCAUGGCUCUCUGGGUGUUUCCAGAGAGGGAGGAGUUUCCGAAGCUGUCGAGCUGUCAUUUCUCUCUGCAUUCUGUACCCCAGACACAAGAAAAGCAAGUAUUUCCUCAUUCCCAAGCAGCAGCGGCAUUUUUACUUCUCCCUAACGGCAAAACUCAAGAUUCAUUCAAAGCAUGUGUCCCUGUCCUUGCUACUUAAUUUACAUUGCAACGUCCUUUCUCAGCAAAAUCCUCAUCUUCACAGGAGACCGCUGUCUAUCAGUUUCCUCUGUCACUUUGAGGUCAUGAUAGAAAUGUACAGAAGUUUGCAGAAGUGCCAGAAAAGACAAAUAUUACGUAUAGUAAUGUCUUUUUGCUAUGAAUAUGUCUUCUUCCUCGUUACAGACAUCCAGAGUUAGAGACACAGCUACACUCUAGCUCAGAAAAUCCUGCUAACACUCAGGCACUAAAAAAAGUCCUUACAAACCCAUCAGAAAAGGAAGGGAGAAACUAUUUUCACCACAAGGGCAUCAGCCUGGAGCCUGUACUACAGGGUCACUGCAAGGUGAAUGACACAAGGACAGAAGCUGGCAGUCAGGGGUCACCCUGAGAUCAAGCUCACAGGGUAAGCACUGGGUGCAAGCUGCACCCAUAAAACUCGAGAGCAAAAUGGGUGUGUGUGAAUGUGCAAGCACCUGAUUAAUAUGUGCUAAUACCCAUAAAUGUCCUUACAGGACUCCCUCCUGUGAAUUCCUCUUUUUAUUGGUUGCUUACGCAGUUUUUAAAGGUAAAGUUUUAAAGAUCCCUGCACUAUAGCAUUUGGAUAAAAAUGGAAUGAUUUCAGAUUCUCAAACGAAGGUGAAGCCUAUUCAGCCUGCAAAACAGCCUCCAAAGUCACUGGUCUGCGCUGCAUGAGCAGAAGCCUGCCUUCAAUUUGGCAUCUGCAUAAAGUAGUAUUUCAAGGACACACAAAUGACCACAUGCACACAUCACCACGCUUACUUACAGCACUUGAUAAAAUGAUAGUGAGACAUCUUCCCAUCUCAGGCAGAAACCUUGCUAGCAAUUCCAGCAUUCUCUCGUGCUACCACAGUCGUCCCCAGGAAAUGCAUUAUUCAGAGUCCUUACUCAGGUGACAGUUUACCUCGGGAUGCAUAAUUGAUCACAGGCUCUGCUCUGUGAUCAGGCAAAAAGCUCCCGGCUCAUUCUCAUGCAGCAACUGGAGUUCGCAGAAGCCUCUUAGGUGGGCGGUCAGCCAGCCCCGCUGCACGUGCUAUUGUAGCGCCCUUGAUUGACACGCCCUUCUUCGCGCCACAGCUCCAGGAAGAGGCAGCUGUAAUUGGCGCUCACGCCUAGCCGUGGCGUGCCACUCGAGGAGGUGAGCUGCAGUGCGGCUCUGCUUUCCUGUCCUGCCUGUGCAAUAGCUGGCAAACAGCAGCAAACGAGGCUGACAAGCAGGCAGGAGGCAGGCAGCGCACAGGGAUCCUGGAUCACAUGGUGCUCAUUGUCCGUCGGGUAAACGUGGCCAGAUUCUCAGUUGGGAGUAAUGCCGAUUAUUUUUAGUUGCUCCCAGUUGCUGGGUGUGACUAGGAAACUGACAGAGGAGCUGGAAAUAGCCACCUCUAGGAACCAGCAAUCUUUUGAUCUGCCUCAAGUUGUGAAGUCACUGCAUCGUCUCUCACAACACGCCCUUCUGGCUAUGUAUGCCGGAAGGCGAAACUUAAAUUAGCCCGAAAAAGCAUUCAGUUUAAACAUUUAGAAUAUUACUACCUCUGCAGACUGCCGUGGAUUUAAUGCUACAAGCUACGAUGAAGUCUGGCUGAAUUGGAAUCAGAAAGAAAUAUAUGGAUUCCCAAAGUCUACAGGAAUAAAAAUAGAUGGCAUACUCACAACAGCCAUGUUAGUGAAAGAAAGUAACAGGUUAUGUUUAAGUCACUUAAAAAUAAAAAUGGAUAUGGAUUUUCACUAAAUGACACAUUGUUAUGAUCUUUUUGCAAGCACAUCACCAUCACCUAAAACACGAGUUUUGGAUUUUGAGAGGUAAAAAUGCAUACUGCAUUAAACAUUCACACCCUGUUAUAGUAGAAGCAUAAGUACUUCCCCUUACUAAGUGAAACUCAGAGCAAUGCUGCUAUUAAACAGGAUUCUAAAACGCAAGUCUAAGUCAUAAGGGGUCCCAGCUCUUAAUUCCCACCCAAAAGCAUUCUAAGCAUUUUACAUUCUGAAUCAAAAGAGGAAGAUUGAGGUCUCCAUCAGGACAGGCUGAGUUCAAAUCCAGGUUCUGGCACACAGUAGGUCAGCUCUAUGCAGGAAAAUCCCUAGUCCUCAGUCUGAAGGUCAGAAAUAAAGCACAGAAAGGCCCAGGGAUAUUGCUGUUGAAGAAAGAGCUGCCUUUAAAAUUAACAGAAAAGAAAAUAUUCAGGUAGGCAUCAAGUGACUGUUUUCCCAGGCACUAAAAUGAGGACUUGCACUUUUCUCCAGUAAUGCUGAUUCUUUAUUCAUUCAUUUACCCCACAAUGAAUCCUUGAGGUCAUUGUCCUCUAAGUCACCCUGCUGGAUGCUUUUCAGGAAUAGAAGGACCACACCCACAACACAGCCUUUGUGCACAAGGAACGCACAGUGCACUUCUAAGUUUUCUUGUAUGUUUUGUAUUUUCCAAUAAAAAUGCAGGCGGCAUUUAUGUGUCUGCUAUUCCACACA